CUUCAGUGAUGAUUCGAUGAGUCGGAUUGAGGCAGCCCUCUGAGGAUUCUGGGUCAGGCUCAUGUUCUGUGAGUCUAACUUCAGUUCCUCAGAGAUCGUGUGUCCUCUUAGAUUGAAGAUUAAGGCAUUUGUCUGAGAAAGG